GCGUCGGUGGUGCAACGGUUCAGCACAUGCUCCCGAAAAGAGUAAUAUCUGGGUUCAAAUUUCGGUCGACGCA